UGGGGAAUAUUGCACAAUGGGCGCAAGCCUGAUGCAGCCAUGCCGCGUGUGUGAAGAAGGCUUUCGGGUUGUAAAGCACUUUCAGUGGGGAGGAAAGGGUGUUGGUUAAUACCUGACAUCUGUGACGUUACCCACAGAAGAAGCCCCGGCUAACUCCGUGCCAGCAGCCGCGGUAAUACGGAGGCGGCAAGCGUUGUUCGGAAUUACUGGGCGUAAAGGGCGCGUAGGCGGUCUGUUGCGUCAGGUGUGAAAGCCCCGGGCUCAACCUGGGAGGUGCACUUGAUACGGGCGGACUGGAAUCCGGGAGAGGAUGGUGGAAUUCCCAGUGUAGAGGUGAAAUUCGUAGAUAUUGGGAAGAACACCGAUGGCGAAGGCAGCCAUCUGGCCCGGUAUUGACGCUGAGGCGCGAAAGCGUGGGGAGCAAACAGGAUUAGAUACCCCCGUAGUCC
rnacentral:rRNA from 1 species